UCCACCAAUUGUGGACAAAUAAAAUGGAUAUGCGCAUCAAUUCCGCCAGCGGUCAAAAUUUGCCCUUCCCCGGCAAUCACCUCCGUGCCAGGACCGAUUUCCAUUGUCACGCCCGCCUGGGUAUCAGGAUUGCCAGCUUUGCCAAUAGCCGCGAUACGCCCAUUUUUGAUUCCCACAUCAGCCUUCACGAUUCCCCAAUAAUCCACAAUCAAUGCAUUGGUAAUGACCACAUCCAUGGCAACGUCCGAGCUUGCUUGGCUUUGCCCCAUGCCAUCUCGGA
rnacentral:sRNA from 1 species